GUCCACGUUGCGGCGGACCAGAGCCAAAAUCCUCCCGAGAUGAUGGCUGCAGCCGGCCACGAUCUCGUCGUCAUGACGACGAGGCCGGCUGC
rnacentral:sRNA from 1 species